rnacentral:rRNA from 1 species
GACGAACGCUGGCGGCGUGCUUAACACAUGCAAGUCGAACGGAAAGGCCCUGCUUUUGUGGGGUGCUCGAGUGGCGAACGGGUGAGUAACACGUGAGUAACCUGCCCUUGACUUUGGGAUAACUUCAGGAAACUGGGGCUAAUACCGGAUAGGAGCUCCUGCUGCAUGGUGGGGGUUGGAAAGUUUCGGCGGUUGGGGAUGGACUCGCGGCUUAUCAGCUUGUUGGUGGGGUAGUGGCUUACCAAGGCUUUGACGGGUAGCCGGCCUGAGAGGGUGACCGGACACAUUGGGACGGAGAUGCGGCCCAGACUCCUACGGGAGGCAGCAGUGGGGAAUAGUGCACAAUGGGCGGAAGCCUGAUGCAGCAACGCCGCGUGCGGGAUGACGGCCUUCGGGUUGUAAACCGCUUUCGCCUGUGACGAAGCGUGAGUGACGGUAAUGGGUAAAGAAGCACCGGCUAACUACGUG